GCGCGCCUCACCCAGUUUCCGUGAUCAGCUCCCCUGGGUGCCGGCUGGCCCCGGGCGAUCGAUUGGGUUCCCGAGACUGUCCAGGAGACAGACGAGUGGCGGACCAGGGGUCCGUGAAGAGUCCGCAGGGAAGGACCAGUGAAAAUCUCACCGGAGGCUCAGCUAGCACAGACCCUGCCUUUGGAGUUUGCUGUUCACAACAUCCAGCCAGGAGAUUGGAUCCUAGUUAAAGAGUAUAAAGAAGCACCGCUGGUGGUGAAGUGGUGUGGACCGUUCCAGGUGUUGCUGACCACAGAAACAGCCGUCAAGACAGCUGAACACGGGUGGACCCAUCACACUCGGGUCAAGGUCUUUGAGGCCCCAGAGAUUUAGACAUCUCAUCUGGAGGAGAGGGACGGGAAGCCACGACUGACAUUCCGCAAGGGCGGACUGGAGCAGUAGCAAGUGCGUCGACAUCGAGGGAAGCCUCGUGUGCCCACCCACGGACUGCCUGCUGAAAGUCUGUGUGGGCAUUCCUCCUCUCGGAUCUCCAGUCUGGCUGGGGGCCAGCCCUUUGCUGUCACUGUUUUCUUUAUGUUAAGCUGUUUCUGUGCCUUCACUCACCACAGGUGCAAAAGACAACGUGAACGUAAAAAUUAGGUUAGGAAAUUACA